GGAGCUGUGGCUCAGUGGUAGUGCACUUGCCUGGCAUGUGAGAGGCACUGGGUUCAAUUCUCAGCACCA
rnacentral:tRNA from 1 species